rnacentral:rRNA from 1 species
UAGGGAAUCUUCCACAAUGGGCGAAAGCCUGAUGGAGCAACGCCGCGUGUGUGAUGAAGGCUUUCGGGUCGUAAAGCACUGUUGUAUGGGAAGAACAGCUAGAGUAGGGAAUGACUUUAGUUUGACGGUACCAUACCAGAAAGGGACGGCUAAAUACGUGCCAGCAGCCGCGGUAAUACGUAUGUCCCGAGCGUUAUCCGGAUUUAUUGGGCGUAAAGCGAGCGCAGACGGUUAAUUAAGUCUGAUGUGAAAGCCCGGAGCUCAACUCCGGAAAGGCAUUGGAAACUGGUUAACUUGAGUGCAGUAGAGGUAAGUGGAACUCCAUGUGUAGCGGUGGAAUGCGUAGAUAUAUGGAAGAACACCAGCGGCGAAGGCGGCUUACUGG